UACGUAGGGUGCAAGCGUUAAUCGGAAUUACUGGGCGUAAAGGGUGUGUAGGCGGUUGUUUAAGUUUGGUGUGAAAUCUCCCGGCUCAACUGGGAGGGUGCGCCGAAUACUGAAUGACUUCGAGUGCGGGAGAGGAGAGUGGAAUUCCUGGUGUAGCGGUGAAAUGCGUAGAUAUCAGGAGGAACACCGGUGGUGUAGACGGCUCUCUGGACCGUAACUGACGCUGAGACACGAAAGCGUGGGUAGCAAACAGG
rnacentral:rRNA from 1 species